rnacentral:lncRNA from 1 species
GAAGGGUCUUGAAAGCAUCCAUAAAUUGCCAGUGGGAACCAAAACAACUCUUUUAAUUAUAUCUCCCCAUAGAUCUCCGACAUUGAAGGGAAAAGCUGGCUGGGUCUGUAGGAGAGAGAGAAAAAAAACACACAACCCAACACCUCUGUCCACUUCUUCAAUUCUAGAAGAGGUAAAUUACUGCCGACCCAGAGAAGUAGUUAUUCAUACGCCAAUAGGUGAGUUCAUGCACAGGAAUUUCUUUCUGUUUCCUAGCUAGCAUGGAGCCCAGCUGUGUGACAUUUGUCAGGUGAACAUGGAUGGUUCCAAGACAGCCCCAAACGGAACAGUAUUAUUUUUUUGCUUAUUAUGUUUCUGUAGUUUUGGUAUCACAGGAUCAAUGACAGCAUCUUAAAAAGCAGAGACAUCACCUUGCCAACAA